rnacentral:tRNA from 1 species
CCUCCUUUCUAAGGAUGAGUGAAAGAGAAAAAUUUCACUCUAAAUAAUAUACAUCGGUAAUGUUGACCGUCCUCAUUUCUCUUCUUAAAGUAAUGUUUCCUUCUUGUAGGGCCGGUAGCUCAGUUGGUUAGAGCACACCCUUGAUAAGGGUGGGGUCGAAAGUUCGAGUCUUUCUCGGGCCCACCAAAACUUAAAUGGGGGAUUAGCUCAUCUGGGAGAGCGCCUGAUUUGCAUUCAGGAGGUAGCAGGUUCGAUCCCUGUAUCCUCCACCAGGAAACAUUUAGUUAUUCAAACUGUAAAUAA